AAGACACUGAGACGAGUCAGACAGAACAGUAUUAAUAGCGGAAAACCAAAUUUUUCUGAUGAUCCUGACAGUUUUAUUCUGAAUGACUCUCAGACGAGACAGGAGCAGCUCCUUUCACCGGACCAGCAGAAUAUUCUUUAUAUUCAGUCACUG